UCUCCGGGGUGGAGGCCCAAGGGCAGAGCCUAGCAUCCCACCCAGGUCCCACCUGAGACCCCUGAGCAGGGUGGAGAAGAGAGAAACGACCACGGGGAGACCAGACAGCGAGCGGAGGACGCGAGGGAAGACGCCUAAGGAGCUUGAGGAGACGCCCGCUGUGCCCCGGAUCACUGGAGAGCUUUGGUCAUGAGAGCAUAAAAAGAUCUGGCAAGUACUUCUGUAAGUGGGAGGGUGAGGCUGCAGCGGCACUGCCAGUUCUGCAUUCAGUGCUUCUUAUAUGGAGAACAUUUAGUCCCACAGUGUGUGCAUGCAGUAUUUAAAGGUAUGUAUUUUUCACAUAAUUUGUCCCUAACCACAAACUACAUCCUUUAUGUGUUGUUCAGCCAAAGCAGCUUCAAUGUGAUCCAGAGGUACAGGAAACCCUGGCUGUGUUGGGCCUUCUGGGAAAUACCAUGUUACUCUCCAAAAUUGUGCCUCCCUAGAGGAUUUUCUGUAGUAGUUUUACUUCCGCCUAAAUUUCACCCUGUGAACUGCCGUUAAUCUCCAAAUCAAACAGUUCCACUCACUGGUCAGGGACCUGGGCUUUGGCCUCAGACAGAUCUAAAUUCAAGGAUGGCUUCCAUCAUUAAAGCUAAUGGGACAAUAGGCAAGUUACUUAACUACUCCAAGCUUUGAUAUUCUUUCCUCUUUGUAGAAUGAAAAAAUAAAGAUAUCUACCACUCAUGAUGCUUAGCCCUUAGUCACACGAUAGCUAAUGGUAUAAGUCCUUAAUAAAUAUUAAUAUAAUACUAAUAUUAUUAACUUUUAUCAUCACUUACCAACUUUCAAUCACCAGAGUCACUCUUUGCCUUUAAGCUUUACCUAAUAUGACUUCCUGUCUGAAAUGACUCAUGGUUUCUCUUCACAGCUCAGAGUCCUACAUUUGUAUUCAUAAUUACCUCUUAAGGAAGUCUGUUGAGAUUUAGUUAAUUCUUCCAACACAUGUUUUCUUCAAAAACUUUUUUAUAUUUAUACCCAGGCUUAGUAAUAGUAAAUGUUUUCAAAUAUGUUUUUAAGUCUUCACUUCCUCAAAGGAAUCACAUUAGCAGGCUACACUUAUCAUUAGUCAAACUACUUUGUGAAAACCACUUUUAGAUUUGCCAUCAAAAUAUGUGAUGAAAUUUUUAAAAUAUCUUCAACACAGGAAAAUCAUCUUUGCAUUCAUUCAUUUUACAAAUAUUUACUUAAUGCUUACUAUAAGCUGGAGAGACAAUAAGGUAAACUGGCAAGAUACUUAGUAUAUUAAAGUGUAACUGCUAACAAGAGAAAUAAGGCAGGGAAGGGUGCUAAAAGCGUUGGGAAAGUAACAUUAAAGACAUACAAAAAAGAAGGAAGCCAUGCUGGUGUCUGAGAGAAGAGGAAGAGCAAGCAAAGAGGAAACACCCAAAGCAGAGGUAGAACUGCCCUGCAGGAGGACCAUCCAGGAGGCUGCCAUGGGGAGAAGAGGGAGAAGGGGCUGUGGAGGGAGCAUGAAAGGUUGUGGCCCAAGAGGCAAUCAUGUAGGGUCUUAUGGGUCAUUUAUAAGGGUUUUGGCUUUCUUUGUAGUGAGAUGGGAGGCUAUAAUAGGCUUUACACAGAAGCAACAUGAUCUGAUUUAUAUCUUCACAGAGAACUUUCUUUGGCUCUUCUUUUAAGGAGUGCAGAGACAGAAGGGGAGACCAAUCAGGAGGUUCAUGAAGUAAUCCAGCCCACAGUAAAACCAGAAGGCCUGCAGUACACGUGGCUGAGGAGCAUUUUGGAGAAGACAGGUGGAUGAAAAACUAAGGCCGGUCUUCAUGAUUGACCUGUGGCUUAGUGAAAGCUGCCACUGGGCAAAAGUGGAUAUUGAGCUAUGGAGCGAGACCUGGAUACAGACUGAAUUCUCAGCAGUAACAGAAUACAGGAAAGGAGAGUAGAGUCUUCUUUUGCAACUUCCUAUAGUGUAAUGAGUGCUUAAUAAUCACUGUUGACUGACCCUUCAGAUGGGGGUGGGAGGAUGGAAGGCGUAUUGUUGAAGGGGUAGGGAGGGAGGUGGUGAAUCUGUGCAUGUUUCAACUCUCAUAGGAAAAACAAAUGGACCAAAUAAAACUAUCAUCCAUUUAUCUUCCCACAGUGGCACAAAAUGACAAAAAAGAAAAUAUUCCCUCUAAAGAAAAGUUUCUUCUAUAUUCUGCUCCCAGUAGUAACAAUUACAACUAGAACUACAAGUAAAAUUGGCUUACAUUAAUGAAAAUACAUAUUAUAUCACAACCAAAGCUCUGAAAACUCAAAAUAUUCAGGGGAAAGAAACCCCAAAGAGACAUUUGUUAUAGUGCUUGGGGUAAAAGCAAAACAUUAAAAUAAUAAAAACAUCUUCCAAAUCAAUCAAAUGGUGCUCAGCUUUAGGUAACUUUAGGUUACUUCAUAUCAAUAAAGAAAAACACAUCAGGAAAUCUAAACCUUAAGUAAGCAAUGAUGUUAUAAAUAUGAAUGAAACAGCUCUGAACUAUUUCCAGCUUUGCCUCAAAAUUCCUUUGGUCUGACGGCAGAACAUAUUAUUUCCUGUUCUCAUGCUCUGUGGGAAGUAACACACCCAUUUCAAUCUUUGUCACUUUUUUCCUGUAUCAACAUCCACAGGAGGAAUGAUUUUGGUGCUGCCUACCCGAGGUUGAGAGCUCCGAUCCAUAAGCCAUCUGGCAACGAGUCUCAAACUUUUGUCAGAGUUACCUGGAGAGCCUGUUACUAUCCUGGGAUCUUCUCCAGAUACAGUGAUUCAGCAGGCUUGGUGAAGGAGUCAGGAAUCUGCAUUUCUAACAAGUACCCCAGAUGAUUCUAGAAGAGGUGGUCCACAUGUCCUUCUUUGAGAAAUUCAGGUCUAGAGUGACCAGAGUAAUUUUUCAUGUCUGCUUUCUAAUCAAGGAGAGUAAGUUUCAAACUCUCUUUUCUGUAAUGCCCAUGACAGGGGUAAACAGGAUUAUAGGAAAAUACAUGCAAGCAUAUAUAACAAAGCUUUCAUGACCUUUACAAAAUAUGUAUGUUUACACAUAAUUCAAUAGGAAAUUCAAAUAACUAGAAUUUUCACUUUACCCUACAUUAGAUGAGGUUCAUUAUGAAAUGAGGCACUGCAAGAUUCUGACUUUCCUCCUGAGUCAUCAGUGAUUAAAUUAAGCUCCCCAGAGUUUUAGCACUAUGAAUAUUUUAUUGUAUUCUUUGAAAACUGGUUAUUUUAAAAUCAGAUUAUAAAUCUUAGGUAAUUGAAGUAACUAAAUUCAUUAAGACCUAGCUUUAAAAAUUACUCCAGCCAAACAGGAAUUUUUGUACUAAUCUAAUACUAGAAUAUGAACUACUGUAUUAUAAGUACUUAUUUUUUUUUCUGAACAUAAUGAAAAUAGCAUACUUCUCUAAACCUAUCAGUUACAUGGGCAAUAUUUAUCCCACCAAUCUCCAAUUAUGAUAAGGCUCUGUUUUAUAAUGAAAUAGCAUUUUAGGUAUAUUCAGCUGCCCUUAAGGAAAACCAAGAAAAGCGA